rnacentral:lncRNA from 1 species
ACAGACACCCCGGAAGUCACGUACCCACUCUGUAGGUGCCCCGGGGCACAGGCAAGCGGACGAGCCAGUUAUCCCUCAGAGCUCCUGCUGCCUCGCCCGCUUUCUCUCGGAAACGUGAAGUGUGGCCUCAGCUGAAAGUGAGGUGGGCCUCAUUCAAUCAGUUGAAUUCUUCAAGAGAGAAAAACUGAAGUCCCUUAGAAGGAAAGAGUUCUGCCUUCAGACUGUCUUUGAACUUAAGACUGUAGCGUCGACUCCUGCCGGAAUUUCCAGCCUGCUGGCCAGCUCUGCAGAUUCACACUUGCCAGCCUCCACAAUCGCAGCUGAGGCGGAGGAACCCUAAGGGCUCAUUGAGAUCAUGGAUUUGCCCUUCUAUGCAUUGAUGGAGCACCUGCUGCCCACAGCGUCUGUAUUUGGUGCUGGGAUGCUGAGGACACUGAGAUCUUCAAACAGAGGCUGCCACUCUAAGCAAACAGAUCCCGAGCCCUGGACUCUGAAGCUUGGGCCCAGUUCUCCUUUUCUCCGGGUUUCAGAUCCCACUGUGAAGUGAGGGGGCCCUUCUGAUUCAGGACCCGGGGAAGCCAGGGGCAUGAGCAUCGGUGCCUCUUCUCUAUUUCAAGGACCCUUCUGGGUGUAAAGUUCUCUGAGAUGCCUUACAUGGAUUCCCACCACUGCAAGAUAACCAUCGUAUGUAAAGUGUUAUGACCAGCAGAGCGUAAUUGAAGUGCAUUCCAGAGGGAAAGACAGCGGCUCAGUAAAUCAAAGGUUUCGCCAUCAUGUAAACCCUUGGGCGACAGAGUCUACCUGUCUCCCCCUGAUAUUGUUCUAUGAGAUUUCGAUGCUAUCUUCAUUGCCAGCAGCCCUGACAAAGAUGCACUGCAGACGGAUAGCCUCUCAGGUGAGAUUAGAUUGAACCCUCCUUAUCUCUUCAUUGUGGUUUCAUCACUUUCAGGAGAUGCUCUGUUGUGAGACCUUGCUUUGUUGUUGCUGUUCUUAAAGGGAACACUCCCUUUGUUAGGAAAAUCUGACAGCUGGAAGCCGUGAGUUCUUGGCCCCUUGCCCUGAAGCAAGAGUGACCAGGCCUCUCUCCUGAGGGAAGGCCUUCCCAGGUGGGGACAUAGGCCCUAAAGUGAGAACUGAAGCAUUGUCCACUCCCUCUUUGAUGCCACAUGCAUGGACGGUUCAGUGAAUGUCGUGGGAACUCAGCUGUGCCCACCCCUGCUUUGUUACCCCGGCACUUUGGGAAACAGCAGAGUCCAGCAGAAACCACUGAAGUUUUGGGCUCGGAGGGAUUCCAGUUCAAGCCCCGGCUUCACCACCUACAAGGUUCAAUUUUGGUCUAGGAAUGGAACUUCUCUGAGUCUUAGUUGCUGUCAUCAAUAUUAUUUUACUGUCAUCAUUAUUUAUAGUAAAAUAAUAACCUCUCAGACUCGAUAAGUCUA